rnacentral:lncRNA from 1 species
ACGACCAGUUCCAGAAAAAGGAAGAAAGCCUCACUCCUCAAGCCCCCUUUGGCCUGAAGAGAAGCCAGACACCAGGAAGUGGCCUUCUCAGGGAAGCAGAGGCAGCCCCAUCGAUGGCCUCUGCCUGUACUCCCAAGACUGCAAAAGUGGCAAGUCGGGUCCAACGCUGGCAUUCAGCCCAGCCCAGAGCCCUGUGCCACCCCACUCUGGAACUGUGAUAUGCUUCUGCCUUGAUCUCCCCUGUUCAACAACGGGUCCAGGGAAGAAGCACCUCGCACAUCACCUUGCACAUAGCAGGUACUCCGUCAAGGCCUCGGGAUCCUGAAGACUCUGGAAUUUCUUCUCUCAAGAUCUCAGAACAUGGGAGGAGAAUCUCCCCCUGUGAGAUGAUGGACAUCAAUAACUGUCAUGGAGCACCUUGGCUAAGCACUUCCCAUUCCAUAGAGGAGGGGACUGAGGCUCAGAGAAGCUAAAUAACUUGCCCUAAGUCACAGAGUUCAUGCAAACAAGAACUGGGGUUCAAAAUCAGGUCUUGGGGCGCCUGGGUGGCUCAGUCGGUUAGGCCUCUGCCUUCCAUUCAGGUCACCAUCCCAGGGUCCUGGGAUUGAGUCCCGCAUCGGGCUCCCUGUUCAGCCGGGAGCCUGCUUCUCCCUCUGCCUGCCACUCCCCCUG